UUGCUUCUGCAGCACUUAUACUAAACUUGGAACAAUCUAGAGAAGGUUAUCAUGGGCCCCACAUAAGGAUGACAUACAAACUCGUGAAGCAUUCCAUAUGUUU